UACGUAGGGUGCAAGCGUUAAGUCGGAAUUACUGGGCGUAAAGCGUGCGGCAGGCGGUUUUGUAAGACCGAUGUGAAAUCCCCGGGCUUAACCUGGGAAACUGCAUUGGUGACUGCAAGGCUUGAGUGUGUCAGAGGGAGUGGAAUUCCGCGGUGUAGCAGUGAAAUGCGUAGAUAUCGUGAGGAACACCAGAGGCGAAGGCGGCUACCCUGGACAAUUGCUGACGCUCGAGGCACGAAAGCGUGGGGAGCAAAAGGG
rnacentral:rRNA from 1 species